UCUAACUCCGGUCCGGCAGCCGCGGGAAUACGGAGGGGGCGAGCGGUGUUCGGAAUGACUGGGCGUAAAGCGCACGUAGGCGGCGUUGUAAGUUAGAGGUGAAAGCCCGGGGCUCAACUCCGGAAUUGCCUUUAAGACUGCAUCGCUAGAAUUGUGGAGAGGUAAGUGGAAUUCCGAGUGUAGAGGUGAAAUUCGUAGAUAUUCGGAAGAACACCAGUGGCGAAGGCGACUUACUGGACACAUAUUGACGCUGAGGUGCGAAAGCGUGGGGAGCAAACAGGAUUAGAUACCCUUGUAGUC
rnacentral:rRNA from 1 species